CAUUUGCAAAGAAAAUCAUCCGUUUGUUUUGUUUUGUUUUUCUUAGAGGGGGCACCCUAAAAGCUGGCCUGUCAGAUAUCUGGAGGGAGAGAUGACAUCCAAAGCCACUUCAGGACAGCUGGGAUGUGGUGUGAUUUGAGGCGUGGCAGAGCAGGGUCAGGAAGAGGCUGAGGUGACGGACUACCGGGAUGGAGGGAUGGAGGGAUGGAGGGAUGCUGAAAAGAGAAAGGACGUGAGCAGAGGAGGGAGAUGGGCCUUUCUGUCAGCGGCAGAUGGAUCAUUUCUGAGGCCUGUCUGUAUGUGGCGUGAUGUCAGUCAAAAAUUGAUGAACAGAAAUAAAUUGUGGGCUCAUUUAAGUGUGGACCCUUCUCCUCAGCAAUGGAUUCAGCAUGUCAAAGGUUUUCUACAAGGUAAACUACUUUAAGUUGUGUGUCUUUCCCAGCUUUGGACAGCCUGUUCUGUGCUAUAGAUGUAGAUGUCUGUGGGGGACAGUGUAUAAACUGUGCUGUUAUUUAGCAGUGAUGUUUGUUUUGUUGUCAUUUCCUUAUGUGAGAUUUUGGGAAAGAUUUGAGAAGAUGUGCAAAAAGUACAUCUGAACACAUGCAGAUCUGAUUUAACUACCACAACUGUUCAAUCAACUCCUCAUAAAGGAAGAGUAUUUCAUUGCACAUCUGAAACUAUAAGUCCGAAGAUAUUGAUAAACUUGAAAUCGUAGAACCUCUGUAUCUUGAUUAUUGAAUGUGUGGUGUACGUGUGUGGUUGACGUUUUAAUCAACGAGUUUGGAAAGGUCAGGUGUGGGACUUAAACGUCUUAAAAAACAGUUUAUUAUGACGAAUAUUUAUACUAAUUCUUUAACUUUUUUGCAAUGCACAGGAAGAUCGUUUAAACAAACUUUUACAGUACUUUGUCUCUAUACAAAUAUGAAACUGUUUUCGGACUUGUUUCAAGGAAACGUGGCAUUAACGUGAAAUGUGGCCAAAGGAAAAUACUAGUGUCACGCAAUGAAUGUCACCUUCUUCGGUAUAACACACAACACAUGGAGAUACAUUGUGAAACAUGUGUAGUUUAUAACUAAGAAUUAGACCAGUUUCCCUGAAAGGGACGUGUCAAGGACACUGCUUUGUGAAUGUGUGAUUGUUUCAGCAAGUUUAAAGAUAUUUUAAGCUACAUUCAAGGCAGAUUAUAAACUAAAUUCGGACACCUGGAGGUAUGCACGCUGUGGUUGGGCAAUAUGGCACAAUGUAUAAAUCACUACGGCCAGACGUACGGAAACAAUGUGCGCAUGUACUCAUGCAAAAUGUAAUAAGGACUUUAAAUAUACCUGCCAUGUGGAUAAAUCAGUGAGAGUGUUUACCGUGAAAAUGUGUGAUAACUGCUGAGCGAUUCUACGCUCUGAAAGAGUGUUAUAUGAACGGUCGCUGUCCAGUGAUCACGGGUGCUGAUUUUGUGAAAGUUUGGAGAGCUGUCAGACUCAGCUGUGGUCGCUGAAAAGGUAUCGAUUAACGUCAUGUAAAAAGUUAUUCCUUGUCGCAUAAUCCAUUCUUUUAAAGAAACGUUUGCUUAAUAAAUUAUCUGACCAGUGCUGCUGGUGUAACUUAAGUAGAACAAACAAAUAACAGCACGACAGGGAAAAUUAGCUGAAUAACCAUGAGACAGACUUAAUUGCUUUUGCCAUUAAGGUUACUUUGUUCUAGCUAGUUCCUUUAUCAAGUGCUCUGCAUUAAAGUGUAUUUAAAAUGAUCAUGUCACUGACUGCAUUUUUAAACGUUGAACGUGAGCUGGUUCAGUUUUAAGUUGCUAAGAAAUGUCAGGUCGAUCAAUCACUUAUUAUACUACUGCGAACAAUUUACCCGUCUCAGACACAUUUCUAAAAUGAUCCUGAAAAAUGUAUUUUUUUGUGAUGAUCCGUUUGUGUGCGUCAUUGCAACCGUUUUUACAAUAAACAUGAAACUACUGUGGGAAGAUU